AUGGCAGCUGCCGCGAUCAGGGCCCGGCUAGACAACCUUGUCACAUCCAUGUUCACCACGGUGAGUCCACCCCGUCGUCAUCCCAUCCCAUGUACACCUCGGCCGUGUGGUUGUUCCGGUGGCUGGCUGACUCUCCUAGUUCAUCUUCGCCUUCGAUCUUGUCAUGUGAUUCAUCUAGGGCAUGCUGGACGAGAAUUUCCAGCAACUGCGGUCGAUGGAAGAGAAUGGCACUGCAGCCCCGGGCUACGUCACCGAGAUGAUCAACCUCUUCAUCAAAGACACCAAGAGGAUCCUCAACGACAUCGCCGGAACCAACCUGUGGUGGACUACGACAUUGUGGACGUCCUCGUGCGUCAGCUCAAGGGGUGCAGCUACAUUGUUGGUGCUAAGAAAGUGAACCUCUCCUGCAUGCAAUUCCGUCGGUUCUACGAGCCAAGAAGCAAAGAAAGAUGCCUCAUGGCGUUGGCUCUUGCUUGGAAUGAGUUCUGUGAAGUGCGCAGCAAGUUCGAGGCUAUGAUGCAGCUGGAGGAGCAGAUCGCAGCCUAUGGUCCUAACUAG
rnacentral:rRNA from 1 species